GAUGAACGCUGGCGGCGUGCCUAAUACAUGCAAGUCGAGCGAACGGACGAGAAGCUUGCUUCUCUGAUGUUAGCGGCGGACGGGUGAGUAACACGUGGAUAACCUACCUAUAAGACUGGGAUAACUUCGGGAAACCGGAGCUAAUACCGGAUGAUAUUUUAAACGGCAGGGUUCAAAAGUAAAAGAGGGUUUUCCUGUAACUAAUAGAUGAAUCCGCGCUGCAUUAGCUAGUUGGUAAGGUAACGGCUUACCAAGGCAACGAUGCAUAGCCGACCUGAGAGGGUGAUCGGCCACACUGGAACUGAGACACGGUCCAGACUCCUACGGGAGGCAGCAGUAGGGAAUCUUCCGCAAUGGGCGAAAGCCUGACGGAGCAACGCCGCGUGAGUGAUGAAGGUCUUCGGAUCGUAAAACUCUGUUAUUAGGGAAGAACAUAUGUGUAAGUAACUGUGCACAUCUUGACGGUACCUAAUCAGAAAGCCACGGCUAACUACGUG
rnacentral:rRNA from 1 species